rnacentral:sRNA from 1 species
GUGUUAUUUGGAAGUAAAAAAUGUAACAAGGUUUCCGUAGGUGAACCUGCGGAAGGAUCAUUACCGAGUGAGGGCCCUCUGGGUCCAACCUCCCACCCGUGUUUAUCGUACCUUGUUGCUUCGGCGGGCCCGCCUCACGGCCGCCGGGGGGCAUCCGCCCCCGGGCCCGCGCCCGCCGAAGACACACAAACGAACUCUUGUCUGAAGAUUGCAGUCUGAGUACUUGACUAAAUCAGUUAAAACUUUCAACAACGGAUCUCUUGGUUCCGGCAUCGAUGAAGAACGCAGCGAAAUGCGAUAAGUAAUGUGAAUUGCAGAAUUCAGUGAAUCAUCGAGUCUUUGAACGCACAUUGCGCCCCCUGGUAUUCCGGGGGGCAUGCCUGUCCGAGCGUCAUUGCUGCCCUCAAGCACGGCUUGUGUGUUGGGCUCUCGCCCCCCGCUUCCGGGGGGCGGGCCCGAAAGGCAGCGGCGGCACCGCGUCCGGUCCUCGAGCGUAUGGGGCUUCGUCACCCGCUCUGUAGGCCCGGCCGGCGCCCGCCGGCGAACACCAUCAAUCUUAACCAGGUUGACCUCGGAUCAGGUAGGGAUACCCGCUGAACUUAAGCAUAUCAAUAAGCGGAGGAAAAGAAACCAACAGGGAUUGCCUCAGUAACGGCGAGUGAAGCGGCAAGAGCUCAAAUUUGAAAGCUGGCUCCUUCGGGGUCCGCAUUGUAAUUUGCAGAGGAUGCUUCGGGAGCGGCCCCCAUCUAAGUGCCCUGGAACGGGCCGUCAUAGAGGGUGAAAAUCCCGUCUGGGAUGGGGUGUCCGCGCCCGUGUGAAGCUCCUUCGACGAGUCGAGUUGUUUGGGAAUGCAGCUCUAAAUGGGUGGUAAAUUUCAUCUAAAGCUAAAUAUUGGCCGGAGACCGAUAGCGCACAAGUAGAGUGAUCGAAAGAUGAAAAGCACUUUGAAAAGAGAGUUAAACAGCACGUGAAAUUGUUGAAAGGGAAGCGCUUGCGACCAGACUCGCCCACGGGGUUCAGCCGGCAUUCGUGCCGGUGUACUUCCCCGCGGGCGGGCCAGCGUCGGUUUGGGCGGCCGGUCAAAGGCCCUCGGAAUGUAACGCCCCCCGGGGCGUCUUAUAGCCGAGGGUGCAUGCGGCCAGCCCAAACCAAGGAAGCGCUUCGGCUCGAACCUGGGAUAAUGGUCGUAAGCGACCCGUCUUGAACACGGACAA